rnacentral:lncRNA from 1 species
ACGACAGCCUGGUCUCCUACCUGGACAAGGUGCGUGCCCUGGAGGAGGCCAACGCUGACCUGGAGGUGAAGAUCCAUGACUGGUACCAGUGGCAGCGGCCUGCUAAGAUCAAAGACUACAGUCCCUACUUCAAGACCAUCGAGGAUCUGAGGAACAAGAUCCUCACGGCCACAGUGGACAAUGCCAAUGUCCUUCUGCAGAUUGACAACGCCCGUCUGGCCGCAGAUGACUUCCGCACCAAGCGAGUUUGCAGUGGUGGGCCAGAACAUCCAGUGUCCCCAAAGUAUGAGACAGAGUUGAACCUGCGCAUGAGUGUGGGGGCCGACAUCAAUGGCAUGCGCCAGGUGCUGGGGUGCUGGACGAACUGACCCUGGCCAGAGCUGACCUGGAGAUGCAGAUUGAGAGCCUGAAGGAGGAGCUGGCCUAACUGAAGAAGAACCAUGAGGAGUGCAGGAGAUGAAUGCCCUGAGAGGCCAGGUGGGUGGAGAUGUCAAUGUGGAGAUGGACGAUGCACCUGGUGUGGACCUGAGCCACAUUCUGAACGAGAUGCGUGACCAGUACGAGAAGAU